rnacentral:rRNA from 1 species
CUACGGGGUGCAGCAGUCGAGAAUCUUCCGCAAUGGACGAAAGUCUGACGGAGCGACGCCGCGUGCGGGAUGAAGGCCUUCGGGUUGUAAACCGCUGUCAGUGGGGAGGAAAUGCAUCAGGGUUCUCCCUGGUGUUUGACCGAUCCGCAGAGGAAGCGCAGGCUGAAGUUCGUGCCAGCAGCCGCGGUAACACGAACUGCGCGAACGUUAUUCGGAAUCACUGGGCUUAAAGAGUUCGUAGGCGGCCUUUCAAGUCGGGUGUGAAAUCCCUCGGCUCAACCGAGGAAUUGCGCCUGAUACUGUUGGGCUUGAGGGGGAUAGGGGUGAGCGGAACUGAUGGUGGAGCGGUGAAAUGCGUUGAUAUCAUCAGGAACACCGGUGGCGAAGGCGGCUCACUGGAUCUCUUCUGACGCUGAGGAACGAAAGCUAGGGGAGCGAACGGGAUUAGAUACCCGCGUAGUC